AAAGCAGUUUUUUUCCAGCCAUCUGAUAUCUAUUAAGUGCUGGAAAGACUGCCAGUCCCAGAAAGUAAAUUUGAAUGUGAAGAUAACUGCUUCAGACAUCCACCAAUCUAUUUCUCCUUCGUCUUCUUAAGAAUUCCUCCUCUGUUUGGGAAAACAAAUUUGUAAUAAAUCUUACAGGCCAGAUCUAUUUAUGAGAUGCACAGGGAUAACAUGAAAAGACCACGGGUUAAUAAGUUUAAAUAGAUUUAAAAAUAACUCAAG